rnacentral:rRNA from 1 species
UACGGGGGGGGCAAGCGUUGUUCGGAUUUACUGGGCGUAAAGGGCGCGUAGGCGGCCACCGCAAGUCAGUUGUGAAAUCUCUGGGCUUAACCCAGAAAGGUCAACUGAUACUGCGGGGCUAGAGUGCAGAAGGGGCAACUGGAAUUCUCGGUGUAGCGGUGAAAUGCGUAGAUAUCGAGAGGAACACCUGCGGCGAAGGCGGGUUGCUGGGCUGACACUGACGCUGAUGCGCGAAAGCUAGGGGAGCGAACGGA